rnacentral:rRNA from 1 species
UNGGAGAGGAAAGUGGAAUUCNUAGUGUAGCGGUGAAAUGCGUAGAUAUUAGGAAGAACACCAGUGGCGAAGGCGACUUUCUGGACGAAAACUGACGCUGAGGCGCGAAAGCCAGGGGAGCGAACGGGAUUAGAUACACCGGUAGUCCUGGCCGUAAACGAUGGGUACUAGGUGUAGGAGGUAUCGACNCCUUCUGUGCCGGAGUUAACGCAAUAAGUACCCCGCCUGGGGAGUACGACCGCAAGGUUGAAACUCAAAGGAAUUGACGGGGGCCCGCACAAGCGGUGGAGUAUGUGGUUUAAUUCGACGCAACGCGAAGAACCUUACCAGGUCUUGACAUUGAUGGACAGAACCAGAGAUGGUUCCUCUUCUUCGGAAGCCAGAAAACAGGUGGUGCACGGUUGUCGUCAGCUCGUGUCGUGAGAUGUUGGGUUAAGUCCCGCAACGAGCGCAACCCCUAUCUUAUGUUGCCAGCACUUCGGGUGGGAACUCAUGAGAGACUGCCGCAGACAAUGCGGAGGAAGGCGGGGAUGACGUCAAAUCAUCAUGCCCCUUAUGACCUGGGCUACACACGUACUACAAUGGGAGUUAAUAGACGGAAGCGAGAUCGCGAGAUGGAGCAAACCCGAGAAACACUCUCUCAGUUCGGAUCGUAGGCUGCAACUCGCCUACGUGAAGUCGGAAUCGCUAGUAAUCGCAGGUCAGCAUACUGCGGUGAAUACGUUCCCGGGCCUUGUACACACCGCCCGUCACACCACGAAAGUCGGAAGUGCCCAAAGCCGGUGGGGUAACCUUCGG